GCCACGGCCGCCGCCGCCAGCUGCAGGCGCCUGACUGCCUCCUUGAUGAGGUUCCCGGAGAGGAUGAGCUGCUGCAGGAGCCGAAUCCACCACUUGUCUUUUGAUGACAGCUGCUGACCAGAAAGAGUUCCUGGACUUAAGGUGGCAUCUUGGAGGUGACUGGAGAUCUGCAUAGAUGGGCAAAUCUGGGUUCAUUAUCAUGCAAUCCUAUUCUCAUAUUAUUACUGCUUCUCUUCAGAAGAAUGGAUAAAAGAGUUAUGAAAACUACAUAAGUAAAAAUACACAAAACUUUCCCACCAUACACCGGCUGCUCUGAAUUUAUUGCAGCAUCCCUAAGCAGAUUGAAUGGCAAAAUGGUACUAUUACUUCUGAUUAUAAACUGGCUGCAUAAGA